GUACAGAACAGCUAGGAAUAAGGGUUUAUACACCAAUUUUAGGGAAAGGAUAGAAAGGGCUUCUGUGAGAAAACAAAUGAACUUUUCAGGGAAACAGAGGGGCUUUUAGGCGGAUACAUGGAAGACAGGAUAGUUUGCAGUAAGGUUUGUUUAUGCAAUUUCUCAUCCAAGCUCAAGUGCAGGGUCUUUUCCCUGGCAGUGUAGCUCACUUGCCUGCCCAGUUAG
rnacentral:lncRNA from 1 species